CUCCAUCUUGAAUUUAGCAAAGAUUAAAUGGGUCUUGAUCACUUCUCUUUCUGCCUUAAGCCACCUGAUGAGGUGAUCUGGGAGAAGAUGUUUGAUUUAAUCUACAGCACAAGAGACUGGGAGCCAUGAGAGCUGACUGUGAGACAGGCCCUCCAUCUCAACUGAGGCAUCUCUCCUUUGCUUAAACACUACAAAACAAACAAAAAAAGAAAAAAAAAACAAAGCCAAGAAGACGGAAGAAAACAAUGAGAUAGAUGCAUGCAGCUCUGCCUUCUAGCAGGAAGCUUUGCCCCAGGAAGCCUUAUAAAUAUUUCUCCCUAGAAGAAACCAGCUGUCACGAGAGGUAGCAGCACGUCUUCUCUGGGCUUUAUGAUGCACACUGGCUUAUAAAAGCCAUCUGAAGAAUGGAAACAGGUUUUGCCCUCCAAGCCCCUGAAUAGUCACCGAAACGGGGAGGGUGAGAACUCGUGGGAAAUAUGGAGUUAACGCAACCCAGGCCUGCUGCCAUGAAUAGGAAAUGGCUUACCCCUGCA
ensembl:lncRNA